GUGCUCACUUCAGCAGCACAUAUGCUAAAAUUGGAACAACACAGAGACGAUUAGUGUGGCCCCCAUACAAGGACGACACGCACAUUCAUGAAGCAUUCCAUAUUUAA
ensembl:snRNA U6 U6 spliceosomal RNA